rnacentral:lncRNA from 1 species
UAAACUUUAAUUAAUUUUUAAUUAUUUUAACUGAAAUUUUAAAACUUGAAAAGAUACCAUUAAUAUUUUCGGAUGAUUACAAAAUAUCAUUAAACCGUUUACUGAUAACGGAAACCGUUUACUGGUAACGGAAACAAUGAUUUGACUUUUUUUUAAUACUAAAAAUUAUUUCCUUUCUUUUUUAAUAUUAAAUUUUUUCUUUUUCCUCUUCCUCUUCUUCUUCUUCGCAUUUCCCUUCCCUAGCCAACCCUAGUUGCCACUGGUUUCACCACCAUCGAUGGCUUUCAUCGGCUGUUCUCUUCAUGCUGCUCUUACGCACCAUCCCAUGCCAUUUUGUGCCUAACGGAUUGAGUCCACCGACCUCCUCCUCCUUUUUCAUCUCUCUUAAACAAAGUUCAGUCUUUUUAUUAUUAUUAUUUUUCUAAUUUCAAAGAAAACAAGCAAAAUUAGCCAAUCAAGUAAAAAAGCAAAAUUAAUUGAUGUUUUUGAUUCAUUGGGUCUGGGUUGCCCAAAGGGUGUGAUAUGGUGGCAGCUACUGCACUCCCUGUCGCUUUUCCAGAAAAGCUAAAGAGGAAAUUAAAGAUAAAAUCAUAAAAAAAUAAAAAAAUUAUGGAGAUCUAAAACAACAAAAAAAAAGAAAAUCAAGAAGACAGAGUCUUUAAAAACAACAAAAACAUUUUGAAUGAACUUUUUUCUUCAAAGAAACGUCAUGCUUCAUCUAGAGUGAAAGAGAGAGCAAAGAGACGAAAAAUGGAAACAAAUAGAGAAGAAAAGGCUAACAUGUAGUAACCAAAAAGAACCUUAAAUAUGGGUUGCAUAAUGCUUCCAUGUUUUCUUUCCCUACCGUAACAAAAAACAAAUUAGAAACUUUGCAAUAAUAAUAAUAAAGCACAUAGAACUCCACGCAUUAGUUAUACUCCUUCUUCCUCGGGGUUGUCUUCAUAUGCUGAAGUCAAUCAUAUUCUCUUCAUUUUCAAGCUUAAAUGUUGAAAAAGAAAAAAACUUCAAACUUUGAUAGGAUUAAGGGUUGGGGCUAGGCUUAUCGAAAUCAAGGGAUAGUCUUGGGAGAUCCACCGGUGGGUUCGAUGUCCGAGGAAGCCAGUGGCGAUGGUGGAAUCGGUGGCGGAUAGGGUUUACUGGAAAGGGAGAUAAGAUGGAAAGAAAGGAAGAAGAAGAAGAAGAAGAAGAAAAAGAAAAGAGAGAAAAUAAAAUAAGGAAAAAAAGAAAAGAAAUAAAAAAUAUAUUUUUGGUGAAUAUAAAAAUAUAUUUUUUAAACACAGUUAAAGUGAUAUAACUUGAUAAUAUUAAUGAUAUU